rnacentral:rRNA from 1 species
CCUACGGGAGGCAGCAGUAAGGAAUAUUGGACAAUGCUCGCAAGAGUGAUCCAGCCAUGCCGCGUGCAGGAAGAAUGCCCUAUGGGUAGUAAACUGCUUUUGAACUAGAGAAAACCCCAGUACGUGUACUGGGCUGAUAGUAUAGUUAGAAUAAGCAUCGGCUAACUUCGUGCCAGCAGCCGCGGUAAGACGAAGGAUGCAAGCGUUAUCCGGAUUCAUUGGGUUUAAAGGGAGCGUAGGUGGACUGAUAAGUCAGUGGUGAAAUCUCCGAGCUUAACUCGGAAAUUGCCAUUGAUACUGUUGGUCUUGAGUACAGUUGCUGUGGGCGGAAUAUGACAUGUAGUGGUGAAAUACAUAGAGAUGUCAUAGAACACCGAUUGCGAAGGCAGCUCACAAAGCUGUAACUGACACUGAGGCUCGAAAGUGCGGGGAUCAAACAGGAUUAGAUACCCUGGUAGUCCGCACCGUAAACGAUGAUUACUCGCUGCUAGGGGGCAACCGUUUAGUGGCUUAGCGAAAGCGAUAAGAAUCCACCUGGGAGUCGCGGCAACGGUUGAAACUCAAANAGAGUAGAGNGNGNGAGNGCGACGGACGACGACGAGGGAGGAGG